AAGGGAAUGUUUCUCCUAGUUACUUGGGACUGCAGCUGAUCACCAUUUAGGGGCAUGACAGUGAAAUGGUUCCUGUACCUCUGUCGCUAUACCUAUUUUAUCUUUUUUCAUGGUAUGAAAGAGACGCAGUAUGUAUUGAAGCAAUGUGUAACUAUAUUGCUUCAUAUUCUAAUGCUGCUAUAGAGUAAUGCUCAAACAUCUUUUAUACUAGUGGGCAUAUGGCAGAAGCCCAAAGUGGAUAGACUGAAAAGCAUUGGAGAAGUCCUAAAGAGAGCUGUGUCUAGACAAGGCAGAGCGCACAUGUAUAUAAAACGCAAUAUUAUAUUUGUAUUUACAUAUUUCUAUGUGGUGAUUUUACUCCAGCAACAUUUGAAAAAGCAUGUUGCAUGCCUUGGAAAUUCAUGACUUUUUUUAAAAAAAAGUUGGCAGCUCCAUGGAAGGAGUAAUUAUGGCCUCCCUUUUGGAAAGCUAGUCAUUACAGUGGCACUUGCUUUUGUUUUGGAGCAAUAAAAAUUGAAAUUAGCUUAAGACAGCAAGGCAUCGUUGAGAGUGUCAUGCUAAUCAGACUUUUAAAUUACUACUUCACGGCCCUUCUAUUGUGGAUGCUAAGCAUAAAAGUAGCAAAGAAGGGGCAUUCCAGAUGUCUAGAAAUGUUUGAACAACCUUAAAGGAAAAGAACUGAAAAUCAAAAGAAGGGCAGAGAGCUGAGAGCAAUGAUGGUCAGUCAGCAUGUACUGUGCAAGUUGCAUGUUAAAUAAUUGGCGACUGAACCAGGAGGUUGCUGCUACCGUCAUGUGUUUUGGGAUUUGAGAGGAGUGGUUGGCAGGAGGAAGACAAAGAUAUAAAUCUACCCCAAGCUUUCUGUUUGGCUAAUUUUCCAUUGUGCACCACUGUAUAGGAUCUACUUUAGGAACAAAAGUACUGUGCUCACAUGCAGCAUUAAGAGGCUUAGCAAUGGCCGGGAUUAAUCCUUGUAUUGAAUGCCAUAGAAUAGGAUCCAAUUACAGGUUCUGUUGUAUCAGGAGUGGGUCUGCCUUGCUGCCUGCGAUUACAGCACAGUAAUUAAAACAAGUAAAAAAGGGCAACUUCUUUGGACAAAAUAUAGCUAAAUGUAUGAAUGAAGUUAGUACAAGGGAAAAUAGAGACUAGAAUUCUGCAUUAAGUACAUACUUUGAGACUAAUGAAACACUGGUCACAUUGGGUUUGCUUAAUCUACAUAAAUAAGGGUAGGUAGAAGAUUGAAUGAUUAUUCCAUUAUUUCCAGGACAGGGUAACUUGUAGUGGCAUUUCAGAAGAUGAGCCUUGUUGCAUCUUUAAGCCACGUGAAUACUGUUUGCCACAGGGACAUUAGUAGUAUGUGGUGUGUGUGUAUUUAAACUACUAAUUUAGUUUCAUUCAUUCUAUCACAUGGUGCUGAAUAUUGUUCAACAUGUCCCACCUUCUCCAGUGGUGAGAAGUGCUUGGGGAAGGUCUUCUUUGGGCUUUGUUUCCUUUGGAAGAGAGAUAAUAAGAAAUGCUUUAAGGCAGCCAACAGUGUUCUUAAAGGUGGUGGUGGAAGACUAGAUUUGGGAACGCUAGCCAAAGCAGUUCCUAGGAUCAGGUGUUAUAUUAACAAGUCACAUGGACAGUCAUGGUGGCCUAUGACAGUACUUCAGCUGAAGCUAGAAUUCCUUUAGAAGGGCCUCCUGGAUCAGGCCAGGGGCCCCAUCUAGCCUGGCGUCAUGUUCUUACAGUGGCCAACCAGAUGUUUAUGGGAAGCCCACAAACAGGACCUGUAAGCCUUAACCGAAUAACCUUUAAGUCUGCAGACUAGCUCAGUUUGGUAACACCGAUGUAGACCUAGUGAAAAAAAGAAGUGCUGGUACCAUUUUUUCUUUUGAGUUGGAUUUGUUUGGAAUGUUUUCCUAUCUCUUUGUGUUCUUGAUAAAAAAACAUACUGGCCAUCAAAUACUCUAGACCAGUAUGAUUCUGAUUCAAAUCCACCUCUGUGCUUAACCAGUUUUCUGAAAUGCUAACUGACUUUAAGGAAAACACAUACAGGGAUAUUUGAAAGAACCCAACCAUGAGAGUAGGGCAUACCUUCGGGAAGAACCCCUUUUCUUAUACAGUAGUGACUCCUGUAAUCAGUGCUUUUCUUCUAGGAAGAAAGGUGCCAGUACUGUGUACCCUUGAGUAGCCCCAGAAAAAAAACAUUGCCCGUAAUAGAUAAGAUAAACUGCAUGCUAUAAAGGAAAUGGUGGAGGUUGUUUAAAGCUAUAAGCACAAGCCAAAUAAAAUUUGUCAGAAUGUAGAAGGCCUUAAAAAAGUAGGCAAACCUUAGGUUAAUGGACCCAUCUACUGUUGGGAUAGACCCACAUAAGCUAAAGGAUUUGAUGACUGUGGCUUAGUUUAAGCUAUAGUGGAAUUUUGGGGGAAGGAGGGGGGAUGAUCAGAUUUUUGGGGGGUACUUCUACUUCAAUGCACAAUUUAAUUGGUUACUUAACAGGUGUUCCUUUACUCUUAAUGCUCCAUAUACCAAAUGACAAAGCAACUACAGUUAGUUUAGUAUUUUUAUUUUGGUUUGAUUUUCUCCUGCAACAAUGAAAGGAAACAAAUUAAGUGUAAUAGCACGUGAGCAUCUCCAAAUUGUUUAGAAAAGAGCUGUGUGUGCUGCAAUGCAAGAGCUAAACAGUGUUGAAUUAAUUUUUAAAUUCCCGCCCCCAAUAUUAGUACGUACACAAAAUGAACUUUGCAGUAAUGAAUACCGAAAGCUGAUGCAGCUGGGAAUGUGAUUUUCUUACAUAAGCUUUAUAUGUUGUGCCUUUAACUAUUGUCUCUUCUCUAAGUAGUAAUGAGUUAUUUAUCCUGGUACUUGUCUGCAGUAGCUUGCAUGUUUUAAUCUGCAUUUGCUGAGACUCUGCCAAAUUGCCUUUUCUUUCCUGUGCCAGUCUAUCCUCUUUUUAUGAGGACAAUCCCUCAUCCUCACCAAUUUAUUAAAGAUUGUAAUGGGUAGAGGGAGAAGCUACUCUGGACCAUGUGCAGCAAUAUAAAACAAUAUAUUUAUGCUUAUUUUAAUAAUACACAAAUGUGUAGAUAUGACACUGAAAUGGCAGCUCAGAAAAAGUUUUCUUUGGUUUGCUAAUCUGGGGCUUUAAAAGCCAAGUGCAUGAAGAGAUGACUUCAGACAAACUGCUUCAGAUUAACUUAAUCUGAUUUUAUUCAGUUUUCUUCAAUCUGUAGUCAGGAAGCAGAAGGAUGAAAAUGGUGGAGGGAAAUUUUGUAGUUUGGGAUGGGGAGCAUCCAUUUCCAUUCAAGUGUAAAACCUUAGCGAAUUUUGAAAUAGUAUAUUAUAAUGUCAUACGUUUUAAAAUGCAAAAAAUAUAUAUUAUUAAGUAGUUAACUAGGUAUAAUCAAGAUUCCUGCAGAUCAACAACUAGCUUUAAAAUUGAACCUCCAUGUGACAUGGCCAUUCCAUUAUGUGAUUGCUUUAUAAAUUGAAAUUAAUGCAAGGUGGUGAUGGGUGAAAUCUGACAUCUAAAUUCAGAAUGUUUUUGAAGAAUUAUUUGGAGAGAAAAUAUCAGGCUCUUCCUGAGAAUGCUGCAAUGACCCAGCCCAGGAACUCCUCUACCAUUGCCAGGAGUGACAUUCCUUCUCCAGCCUCUGCCCUCUCCUCAUCCAGCUGAUCAUAGGUGUGAUUCCCUCAAUAUUCUUUAAGUGGUGUUUUAUGAUGCACUGGGAACACUUUAAAGAAGCACAUAUGAUUUGAUAGUACAUGCAGUUCACAAUUUUUUGUAUGUGUUUUACUGGUGUGCAAGAGUGUGCAGGAUCAAUAAAACACUGUUCAAAUAAGAAUAUUAAUGAAAUUGUACUUACUAGCAUGCCAAUGUUGUUUCUUUUGUAUUCUGCUCUAUCUGUGAGCAUGUGGUAACUCAGAGGAGAACAGAAAUCUGUGCCAACCCGCUCAUGUUCCAGUUUUUGGAAUUAAUUUUAGAAAUUCUCCAGGAUUCAGGAGAAUUGGGAGAGCAAAAGAUGCAGUCAUUGCCUUCUCCACCUGCUGCUGCUACACCAGCUAUGAUUGGACCCACCUCACCUCACAUUGGCCAUUGGAAGCAGAGGAAAGCUGCCGUCACCAUCCCCACUUCUUCAAACAUCCAUUUUUAAUUAAGGGUCAUUCUUACUGAUUUUAGUACUGUAUAAGCUAUUCUGGGAGCCUUUUUGGCUGAAGACCAGAGCAAGACUACUUCAAAAUAAUAGUCUUCCUCAAUAUGGUGCUCUCCAGACUGGGAAAAGUUAGUCUGGGCUAUAUUUCUUAGAAAUUGUUUGGAAAACGAUGAAAGGUUGUUUUUACAGACUAAUUUGACCAUUCAAAAUAUGAGAACCACAGUUUCCAGGUUGAUUUCUCAGUUGGAAGCCCUGAAUACAAGCUGAUGUCUUGAACUAGUGCUUCUCAUUUAUAUGACUGUAUAGGAGCUUAGGAGAAAUUGAAACAAACUUACCUAAAAAAAUCAAUGUACUGAAGUACUAUUUGAUGUACUUGAAUAGUAAAGAAAAAGGGAAAAAAAGGACAGAAACAAAAAUAGACUAAUUCAUUGAAUGCCAGAAGAGCAAGUUAUGAAUUUUGUUAGUGACUUAGCAAGUUAUGAAUUUUGUUAGUGACUUGCAUUGAUAGAAGAUGGACAGCCCAAUGUCAGUUAUCUCAAGCCAUUAGAAAAGACCCCUAGCUUUAUGUCUUAAAGACUCUCAAAGUGAAACCAUCAAGGACUGUGAAGAAAGAAAUCUAGUCUGACAGGAACAGUCUACAUCAUCUAAUAGUGGCAUAUGAGUCUGGAAGGCACAUUGUCUUGCAACCAAUAUUAAAGCAUGAACUUCUGCCUGUAUUUGUACCAUUGAUAGAAAUGAACAGUGAUGUCCAAGACAGAGAAGGUGCCACUUUUACACCCACUUAAAGCUGACAUUGAUUGUCCAAGAAUUGUGGAACAUGUCACUGAUUUCAUUCUUCUAGUAAUUGAUGGGCAGGCAAUGGUGAUUGCAUUGAGUAAGACAUCAGAAGCAAACACAUUUAGGGAUUUUGUCAAUAUUUUUGUUCAACAGUUGAACAAGGACUCAGUGUCCAAGCAAGCUGAUACUUUGUUCGACAGCUUCUGAGAAAAACAAAACAAAAAACAAAUUAAGGUUUGCACUAGUCAAAAACAUGCAGACCUCCAUGCCAGCACGAUCAGUUAUUGAGAACAAGAAUGCCCCUCUGCCACAGAACUGGAAACUAUUUGGUAAUGCCUGAAUGUAUAGCAGAUCUGACUUUCUCUGUAUCCUUUUAUGAGAACCUCACUGUUGUCAUUUUUAAGGAUUCAAAGUUGAAAGAAUGUGGUGCUGAAUAAUCUAUCUAUAAACAUAGCACAACUAAAGCUGUCACAGGUAGAAGCUGAUACCAUUGUAAUUUCAGCUUUUUUUUCUUUCUUCUGAUGGCCUUCCAAAAAAGAAAGAGGAAAGAAUUGGAAAGUAUAACUAAGUGACCUGCAUUGUGUUUGGCAUGUUAAAUUAAGAACUUAGACUUUUAUCUUGAGGUGUUUUUUUUUAAAAAAAAUUCUUAGAUCAGCAGUUAGUACAGAAAGCACACAAGCAACCUGCAGAGCUUUUCUUCCCAUUUGGUACUGGGUCACUUUAGGACAAGCCUGCAAGAUAUGUUGAUGAAUUUGUCAUGUGGUUGUGUACAGGGUAAGUUAUAUUUCAUCCUGUAGGUUUAGAACUUAUUUAAUGGUUAAAAUUUGUGUUGUAUGUAAUUGAAAGUCACCUUUUUGCUGCUUGUUUUGGUGUAGCACUAUUUGGUAACAUUAAGAAACCAGAAACACUGCCCCUUCCACCUCACAAAGCCUUCUUGCUUCAUCAUAUGAGGUGCCUUAUGGGGAGAGUGUUCGCCUUGCGGAAAUUUGAUUACUAUAGCCAAUGAGCUGAGGCUGGAAAGAAGGGAAAGAGGUCUCACUCCUGUUUUUAAAAAUUUGGCCGUAUUCUUGAGGUUUGCUUAAGUGUAGUGUAUGUGGAGGCAAAACAGGAUGUGCCAACUGGCCGUGUAAUUGCAAGCAAGUACAGCUCAUAUAUAAACAUGUGUUUUUGUGGUGCUAUCUGUUUCUUCCUUUUAACCAGAUAAAAAAUGUGAACUCAAAUUGCAGGUUACACUGAAACUUGUAGAAAUAAAAGUAGUAAAGAAUAUUAUCCAACUUAUUAUUUUAACCUGUGUAACAUUUUAAUUUACAAGUCAUCUGGAAUAACUAAAUAUGUUUUGUGUUUCUCCAAUGCCAAAUGUCUUAUGAACAGCUAGCCUCAAGUAGAGAGCACUGACUAUAAGUCUACUUCCAAUCCUUUUCUCUUUCUUUUUUGGAAGGCCACCAGAAGAAAAAAAAUAUGUAUAUCUCAAGCUGAAACUACUCUGGGACUGAAUAAAAGUAUUUUCAAAAAAUUGAUUCCGAUCAAUGUGCCCAAAAUUCACAUCAGCAGGAAAAUGCAGCUUUUCACCUCAUGCUUUUCAUAGUAAGAAGAGGUGAUUUGUUUUAAUUGGUUUAGUGAAACUUUCAUUACAUACUACAUUUUGCAAGGGAAGAAAACAUGCAAGGUCAGCUGGUUAUGUAGAUAUUUCUCAUAAUAUA